rnacentral:lncRNA from 1 species
GUAUAAUUAGGAUCCACUUUCCGGUUAUAUCCAUCGAGAUUGAUCGGACCUAUGCUAUAAAGUCCAUCCUAUUUUCUUUGUGGUCUAUGUUUCCAUUUUUUCAUUGUGCUUUUAUUCCAUUACAUAACUAAGUGACGAAUCAUUCCUAGUUGCUUAGCAUAUAAAUAAAAGCAAACUAUUCCUUCUUCCUUCUGCUUGUUUUUAAGCUUCUAUAGAAUUCAGAUUCCUUUAUGAUUCUUAAU